GCGGCCUAGUCAAUAAAAACAUACAUAAAUAUAAAAUAGCUAUUUAUGUAUCAAGGGCAUUGUAAGGACGAUAAUGCCCGAAAGGUGGAAAUAGUAGGUUUCUGCCUGAUGGGCAUUAGAGUCUAACAAUGCCCGUGGUGCAUACAAUGCUUUAUGUUUUACCUAAAAAUUGAUUUUUAUGAACAAAAAUAAUUUUAAUAUUAAUUAAAAAAUAGGGUCUACCUGUACAUACCUACCUACAGAAAUUUAUCAAGUGACUUGCAGUGAUUAUUUAAGUUUGACUUUGAUGUUUCUGUCAGUUAGUCAGUUGGAAUUUUUUGUUUAAAUUUUUGCUUAAAAUGGAAGAAAUUCCACAAAAUAUAGGAUUUUCAGGAAUUUCAGGAACUGUCGGAAAAAAAUACAGUCCGAACUCUCUCUGGACCAAGUAUUCUACCCUAAGGUCUAUACGUUAAUGGUCUAUAAAAAUAUAGACAUAACGCAAUACCAUCGUCUCAUAUCUUUUUUAAGUUAAGUCGAAAGGAUAUAUCCCGAAGAAGUCUAAAGUUUUGGAAGGAGAACAAAUAAUAAAAUUUAUUAAGAAGGCUCCUGAUGAUAUCUACUUGGUACACAAAGUCAUAUAGAUAAUGGAUGUUUUUGGAGGUUUAAGACGAGAUGAGUUGUCAAAAUGACCAUUGAUGAUAUUGAAGAUAGAGGAACGGUCUUGGUUAUAAAGGUACCAGAAACUAAAACUUCAACUUCAAAAAGUUUUACUGAAGAAGAUUGAAGAUCAUUGAAGAAGAUUUAGGCGUUUUAAAUUUAAUAAAAAAGUACGCAGCAUUAAGACCAGCUGGAAUAAAGGAGUGAAGAUUCUUUCUUACCUAUAGAAAGAGUCGCUGUACAGUACAACCUAUUGGAAAAAAUACCAUAGGAAGCGUGCCAACAUUGAUCGCAAAAUUUUUAAAACUGGAUAAUGCAGAAGCUUAUACCGGCCACUGUUUGCGUCGCACAUCGUCAACUUUACUUGUUGAGGCAGGUGCUUCUUUUGAAAUGCUAAAACAACAUGGGAAAUGGAAAUGCUCUUCAGUAGCUGAAGGAUAUAUAGAAGAAAGUAUUUCAUCCAAAAAUAAAGUAGCCAAAAUGAUUGCCAAUCCAGUUAAUUCCGAGGUUAAUUCCGUAUCAACUAUUGAAAAUUCUUUAAUGGACAAUUUACAAACUAUACAAAAUAGCGUUAGUGCUGCCACCUCUACCAUCUCAAAAAACACCGACCAUUCUAUAGUGGGAUCAGCUACAUUUUCCGGGACAUUUCAAAAUUGUAAUUUUUAUUUUGGAAAUAAAGUUUAAUUUUUAGUAUAGAAA